UACAGAGGUCUCAAGCGUUGUUCGGAUUCAUUGGGCGUAAAGGGUGUGUAGGUGGCGCCGUAAGUCGGGUGUGAAAUUUCGGAGCUUAACUCCGAAACUGCAUUCGAUACUGCGGUGCUUGAGGACUGGAGAGGAGACUGGAAUUCAUGGUGUAGCAGUGAAAAUGCGUAGAGAUCAUGAGGAAGACCAGUGGCGAAGGCGGAUCUCUGGACAGUUCCUGACGCUGAGGCGCGAAGGCCAGGGGAGCAAACGGG
rnacentral:rRNA from 1 species